rnacentral:rRNA from 1 species
UGUUUCCUACGGGGGGCAGCAGUGAGGAAUAUUGGUCAAUGGGCUUACGCCUGAACCAGCCAAGUCGCGUGAGGGAAGACUGCCCUAUGGGUUGUAAACCUCUUUUGUCAGGGAGCAAUUGGCGCUACGUGUAGCGUUAUCGAGAGUACCUGAAGAAAAAGCAUCGGCUAACUCCGUGCCAGCAGCCGCGGUAAUACGGAGGAUGCGAGCGUUAUCCGGAUUUAUUGGGUUUAAAGGGUGCGCAGGCGGUCUGUUAAGUCAGCGGUCAAAUCCCGUGGCUCAAUCCCGG